ACCUAUACGUUGCCUCGGCGGAUCAGCCCGCGCCCCGUAAAAAGGGACGGCCCGCCCGAGGACCCCUAAACUCUGUUUUUAGUGGAACUUCUGAGUAAAACAAACAAAUAAAUCAAAACUUUCAACAACGGAUCUCUUGGUUCUGGCAUCGAUGAAGAACGCAGCAAAAUGCGAUAAGUAAUGUGAAUUGCAGAAUUCAGUGAAUCAUCGAAUCUUUGAACGCACAUUGCGCCCGCCAGUAUUCUGGCGGGCAUGCCUGUUCGAGCGUCAUUUCAACCCUCAAGCUCAGCUUGGUGUUGGGACUCGCGGUAACCCGCGUUCCCCAAAUCGAUUGGCGGUCACGUCGAGCUUCCAUAGCGUAGUAAUCAUACACCUCGUUACUGGUAAUCGUCGCGGCCACGCCGUAAAACCCCAACUUCUGAAUGUUGACCUCGGAUCAGGUAGGAAUACCCGCUGAACUUAAGCAUAUCAAUAAGUCGGAGGA
rnacentral:rRNA from 1 species